rnacentral:misc_RNA from 1 species
AACGCACGAGACCUGCGGACCUGCGGAGGAUCAUUAGUGAACGCCCUCACGGGCUUAUAACUAUUCCAAACCUCUGUGAACCGUGCCCUUCGGGGCUAUUUUACAAACAUGGUGUAAUGAACGUCAUAUAUCAUAACAAAACAAAACUUUUAACAACGGAUCUCU